ACGCUCGACACCUACUGGAGGCAGCAGUUGGGAAUAUUGGACAAUGGAGGAAACUCUGAUCCAGUGACGCCGCGUGAAGGAAGAAGGUCUUCGGAUUGUAAACUUAUUUUGUCAGGGAAGAAAAAUGACUGUACCUGAAGAAAAAGCACCGGCUAACUACGUGCCCGCAGCCGCGGUAAUCUGAGCGGGCUGGCAAGGC
rnacentral:rRNA from 1 species